rnacentral:rRNA from 1 species
ACUCCUACGGGAGGCAGCAGUAGGGAAUAUUGGUCAAUGGGUGAGAGCCUGAACCAGCCAUGCCGCGUGCAGGAAGACGGCCUUCUGGGUUGUAAACUGCUUUUACCAGGGGAUAAAAGACCAUGCGUGGUUAAUUGAAGGUACCUGGAGAAUAAGCACCGGCUAACUACGUGCCAGCAGCCGCGGUAAUACGUAGGGUGCAAGCGUUGUCCGGAUUUAUUGGGUUUAAAGGGUGCGUAGGCGGGCUAUUAAGUCAGUGGUGAAAUCCAGCAGCUUAACUGUUGAUGUGCCAUUGAUACUGGUAGUCUUGAGUACAGAUGAGGUAGGCGGAAUUGACAGUGUAGCGGUGAAAUGCAUAGAUAUUGUCAAGAACUCCGAUAGCGAAGGCAGCUUACUGGGCUGUAACUGACGCUGAUGCACGAAAGUGUGGGGAUCAAACAGGAUUAGAUACCCUGGUAGCGAGUAG